UCGAGAAUUUUUCUCAAUGGGGGAAACCCUGAAGGAGCGACGCCGCGUGGGGGAUGAAUGGCUUCGGCCCGUAAACCCCUGUCAUUUGCGAACAAACCUUUCGGCUUAAUACGCCGAAAGCUGAUUGUAGCAGAAGAGGAAGGGACGGCUAACUCUGUGCCAGCAGCCGCGGUAAUACAGAGGUCCCGAGCGUUGUUCGGAUUCACUGGGCGUAAAGGGUGCGUAGGUGGCGGGGUAAGUUUGAUGUGAAAGCUCCGAGCUUAACUCGGAAAUUGCAUUGAAUACUAUCCCGCUCGAGGGUUGUAGGGGGGACUGGAAUUCUCGGUGUAGCAGUGAAAUGCGUAGAUAUCGAGAGGAACACCAGUGGCGAAGGCGAGUCCCUGGACAGCUCCUGACACUGAGGCACGAAAGCUAGGGGAGCAAACAG
rnacentral:rRNA from 1 species